AAUGCGCAGAUAUCAGGAGGAACACCGGUGGCGAAGGCGGGUCUCUGGGCCGAAACUGACGCUGAGGAGCGAAAGCAUGGGGAGCGAACAGGAUUAGAUACCCUGGUAGUCCACGCUGUAAACGUUGGGCGCUAGGUGUGGGGACCAUUCCACGGUUUCUGUGCCGUAGCUAACGCAUUAAGCGCCCCGCCUGGGGAGUACGGCCGCAAGGCUAAAACUCAAAUGAAUUGACGGGGGCCCGCACAAGCGGUGGAGCAUGUGGUUUAAUUCGAUGCAACGCGAAGAACCUUACCAAGGCUUGACAUACACUGGACCGUUCUGGAAACAGUUCUUCUCUUUGGAGCUGGUGUACAGGUGGUGCAUGGCUGUCGUCAGCUCGUGCCGUGAGGUGUUGGGUUAAAGUCCCGCAACGAGCGCAACCCUCGUUCCAUGUUGCCAGCGGGUUAUGCCGGGGACUCAUGGGAGACUGCCGGGGUCAACUCGGAGGAAGGUGGGGAUGACGUCAAGUCAUCAUGCCCCUUAUGUCCAGGGCUUCACACAUGCUACAAUGGCCUACACAAAGGGUUGCGAGACCGUGAGGUGGAGCGAAUCCCGUAAAGUGGGUCUCAGUUCGGAUCGGGGUCUGCAACUCGACCCCGUGAAGUCGGAGUCGCUAGUAAUCGCAGAUCAGCCAUGCCGCGGUGAAUACGUUCCCGGGCCUUGUACACACCGCCCG
rnacentral:rRNA from 1 species